GGUGAAAAUAUAUAGAAAGCCUCUGAUUGUUAUGUGAGGACUCAAUUUGAGUGAUAGAAAGCCUCUGAUUCCUAUGUGAGGACUCAAUUUGAGUGAUAUUGCGUCCAACACAGGCGCUAAAUAAGCGGCGCGCUGAAAAAACUGGCCAUAGUGUGCGCGCAAAUGAAACCAGCGCUCCAGCAGCCGCGCGCGGUAAAAAGGCGCCACCGUGCCUAGAAAAACUACAUCGCACACGACUUACUUGGUGCUCCCGCUCCAGCAUGCUGGACAGGAGAAUCUCGUGUGCGAACCAACGCCUGAUCUGAAACCUCCUCACAC
rnacentral:lncRNA from 1 species